rnacentral:rRNA from 1 species
CAAGAGAGCGCGAAACCGUUAGGAGGGAAGUGCAGGGCAGCGAGCGGAAGGCCCUUGGUGGAAUUCAGCCUCUGCAGGUCUCCGACAGUGGGGGACUGGCGGCGGUGCACUUUUCGCCAGGGCACGUCAGCGGCGAUUGCCCCGAUCCCGCGAGGCGGUGGAGGCUGCCUCUCCGGAGGCCAGGUGACCGGGACGGCUCUCGGGUCGUCUCGGAGCGUACACUCUGCCGUCUGGGGCGUCGGGGCGAUCGAGGAGUGGGUUCGUUCCAUCGGCGUCCAUUCGCCUGGAGCAAAGGCAGGUGCGGGCCAGAGGGUUUGGCCGGGCGGCCCCUGGCGACCGGGAGCUCCGAGCGAGUUCUGCCCCGUCCUCGUGGCGGGCUGCUCGAACGGGUUCUCUCGGCGUCGGGGUGUCCGUCUCGCCCGCGCCUAGGUGGCUGACGUGGAGUCGUUGCCGUGCGU